rnacentral:rRNA from 1 species
GGGGAAUAUUGCGCAAUGGGCGAAAGCCUGACGCAGCGACGCCGCGUGGGGGAUGACGGCCUUCGGGUUGUAAACCUCUUUCAGCAGGGACGAAGCGAAAGUGACGGUACCUGCAGAAGAGCACCGGCCAACUACGUGCCAGCAGCCGCGGUAAUACGUAGGGUGCAAGCGUUGUCCGGAAUUAUUGGGCGUAAAGAGCUCGUAGGCGGUUUGUUGCGUCGGCUGUGAAAACCUGAGGCUCAACCUCAGGCCUGCAGUCGAUACGAGCAGACUAGAGUGUUGCAGGGGAGACUGGAAUUCCUGGUGUAGCGGUGAAAUGCGCAGAUAUCAGGAGGAACACCGGUGGCGAAGGCGGGUCUCUGGGCAACAACUGACGCUGAGGAGCGAAAGCGUGGGGAGCGAACAGGAUUAGAUACCCUGGUAGUCCACGCCGUAAACGUUGGGCGCUAGGUGUGGGGCUCAUUCCACGAGUUCCGUGCCGCAGCUAACGCAUUAAGCGCCCCGCCUGGGGAGUACGGCCG